rnacentral:rRNA from 1 species
UACGUAGGGUGCGAGCGUUAAUCGGAAUUACUGGGCGUAAAGCGUGCGCAGGCGGCGCCGCAAGUCAGGCGUGAAAUCCCCGAGCUCAACUUGGGAAUUGCGCUUGAAACUACGGGGCUGGAGUGUGGCAGAGGGAGGUGGAAUUCCACGUGUAGCGGUGAAAUGCGUAGAGAUGUGGAGGAACACCGAUGGCGAAGGCAGCCUCCUGGGCCAACACUGACGCUCAUGCACGAAAGCGUGGGGAGCAAACAGGAUUAGAAACCCGGGUAGU